rnacentral:rRNA from 2 species
ACGGAAGGCAGCAGUGGGGAAUAUUGCACAAUGGGGGAAACCCUGAUGCAGCGACGCCGCGUGAGCGAAGAAGUAUUUCGGUAUGUAAAGCUCUAUCAGCAGGGAAGAAAAUGACGGUACCUGACUAAGAAGCUCCGGCUAAAUACGUGCCAGCAGCCGCGGUAAUACGUAUGGAGCAAGCGUUAUCCGGAUUUACUGGGUGUAAAGGGAGCGUAGACGGAACAGCAAGUCUGAUGUGAAAGGCGGGGGCUCAACUCCUGGACUGCAUUGGAAACUGCUGAUCUUGAGUGUCGGAGAGGUAAGCGGAAUUCCUAGUGUAGCGGUGAAAUGCGUAGAUAUUAGGAGGAACACCAGUGGCGAAGGCGGCUUACUGGACGAUCACUGACGUUGAGGCUCGAAAGCGUGGGGAGCAAACAGGAUUAGAUACCCUGGUA